rnacentral:rRNA from 1 species
UGGGGAAUAUUGGACAAUGGGCGAAAGCCUGACCCAGCAACGCCGCGUGAAGGAUGAAGUAUUUCGGUAUGUAAACUUCGAAAGAAUAGGAAGAAUAAAUGACGGUACUAUUUAUAAGGUCCGGCUAACUACGUGCCAGCAGCCGCGGUAAUACGUAGGGACCAAGCGUUGUUCGGAUUUACUGGGCGUAAAGGGCGCGUAGGCGGCAAUUCAAGUCAUCUGUGAAAUCUCCGGGCUUAACUCGGAACGGUCAGAUGAUACUGCUUUGCUAGAGUGCAGAAGGGGCAAUCGGAAUUCUUGGUGUAGCGGUGAAAUGCGUAGAUAUCAAGAGGAACACCUGAGGUGAAGACGGGUUGCUGGGCUGACACUGACGCUGAGGCGCGAAAGCCAGGGGAGCAAACGGGAUUAGAUACCCCUGUAGUCCCUGAGCGGGCUGGCAAGGCGCAU